GACGAACGCUGGCGGCGUGCUUAACACAUGCAAGUCGAACGGAAAGGCCCUGCUUUUGUGGGGUGCUCGAGUGGCGAACGGGUGAGUAACACGUGAGUAACCUGCCCUUGACUUUGGGAUAACUUCAGGAAACUGGGGCUAAUACCGGAUAGGAGCUCCUGCUGCAUGGUGGGGGUUGGAAAGUUUCGGCGGUUGGGGAUGGACUCGCGGCUUAUCAGCUUGUUGGUGGGGUAGUGGCUUACCAAGGCUUUGACGGGUAGCCGGCCUGAGAGGGUGACCGGGCACAAUGGGACUGAGAUACGGACCAGACUCCAACGGGAGGCAGCAGUGGAGAAUAUUGCACAAUGGGCGGAAGCCUGAUGCAGCAACGCCGCGUGCGGGAUGACGGCCUUCGGGUUGUAAACCGCUUUCGCCUGUGACGAAGCGUGAGUGACGGUAAUGGGUAAAGAAGCACCGGCUAACUACGUG
rnacentral:rRNA from 1 species